rnacentral:rRNA from 1 species
UGGGGAAUAUUGCACAAUGGGGGGAACCCUGAUGCAGCAACGCCGCGUGGGUGAAGAAGUAUUUCGGUAUGUAAAGCCCUAUCAGCAGGGAAGAAAAUGACGGUACCUGACUAAGAAGCCCCGGCUAAAUACGUGCCAGCAGCCGCGGUAAUACGUAUGGGGCAAGCGUUAUCCGGAUUUACUGGGUGUAAAGGGAGCGCAGGCGGCGCGGCAAGUCAGAUGUGAAAGCCCGGGGCUCAACCCCGGGACUGCAUUUGAAACUGCCGCGCUGGAGUGUCGGAGAGGCAAGUGGAAUUCCUAGUGUAGCGGUGAAAUGCGUAGAUAUUAGGAGGAACACCAGUGGCGAAGGCGGCUUGCUGGACGAUAACUGACGCUGAGGCUCGAAAGCGUGGGGAGCAAACAGG